rnacentral:rRNA from 1 species
AGAGACAGCAGUAGCCGCGGUAAUACGGAGGGUGCAAGCGUUAAUCGGAAUUACUGGGCGUAAAGCGUGCGUAGGCGGUUCGUUAAGUCUGUUGUGAAAGCCCCGGGCUCAACCUGGGAAUGGCAAUGGAUACUGGCGAGCUAGAGUGUGUCAGGGGAUGGUGGAAUUCCCGGUGUAGCGGUGAAAUGCGUAGAGAUCGGGAGGAACAUCAGUGGCGAAGGCGGCCAUCUGGGACAACACUGACGCUGAGGCACGAAAGCGUGGGGAGCAAACAGGAUUAGAUACCCGUGUAGUCCCUGUCUCUUAUAC